UCAUCUCUGGGAUGGACGUCAAGCUUAUUAACAACCUAAUAAAAAAACAGAAGUGAGAUCCAGAAGGAUAAAUAUGAUUUUAAUUGACUUUUGGAUUCUUAGCCAUCCUCUAUCAUAGAAAAUCGACAUGAUUGGCCUUUUGAAUGUAGUGGUUUCUGCUGCUCAAAGGAAAUUGUGCUGCAUUUCCUUGGAAAUAAAUAAAUGGAGAAUGAAUUACACCCCUAACUAUUACAUAAUAAGCAACUCUCACAUUGAUUUCUGAAUAUCAAUCGUUGAAGCUGAUAAUCUAGAAAGAGUCGUAGAGUCUCCACGGCCAUCCUCAGAACAGCAACAGAACACCUUAAAAAAGGAAAGGAAAAGGGAAAAGAGGCAAUACUUGUAGUGGGAAAUGAGACAUCAUA